rnacentral:rRNA from 1 species
CCCUGAGAUGUUCUGGGCUGCACGUGCGCUACACUGAGGCGUUCAACGGGUUUAUGACCUUGCCCGAUAGGGUUGGGUAGCCGUUUUAAAUCGCAUCGCGACCGGGAUACAUUAUUGCAAGUAUUAGUCUUCAACGAGGAAUUCCUAGUACGCGCGAGUCGUCAGCUCGUGCUGAUUACGUCCCUCCCCUUUGUAAACGCCGCCCGUCGCUCGUACCGAUUGAGUGAUCCAGUGACUAAUUCGGAUUGCAGCAGCGUUCAGUUCCUGAACGUUGCAGCGGGGAGUUUAGUGAACCUUAAAGGCAGGAGAAGUCGUAACA